rnacentral:rRNA from 1 species
GAACGAACGCUGGCGGCAUGCCUAACACAUGCAAGUCGAACGCUCCGCAAGGGGGAGUGGCGAACGGGUGAGUAACGCGUGGGAACCUGCCCAGUAGUUGGGGAUAACCGCGGGAAACUGCGGCUAAUACCGAAUACGCCCUAAGGGGAAAGAUUUAUCGCUAUUGGAGGGGCCCGCGUCGGAUUAGCUGGUUGGUGAGGUAACGGCUCACCAAGGCGACGAUCCGUAGCUGUCUGAGAGGANG